CUGAGAGGAUGAUCAGCCACACUGGGACUGAGACACGGCCCAGACUCCUACGGGAGGCAGCAGUGGGGAAUCUUGCACAAUGGGCGCAAGCCUGAUGCAGCAACGCCGCGUGCGGGAAGAAGGCCUUAGGGUUGUAAACCGCUUUCAGUAGGGAAGAAAAUGACGGUACCUACAGAAGAAGGUGCGGCCAACUACGUGCCAGCAGCCGCGGUAACACGUAGGCACCAAGCGUUAUCCGGAUUUAUUGGGCGUAAAGAGCUCGUAGGCGGUUCAGUCAGUCGGGUGUGAAAACUUGAGGCUUAACCUCAAGAGGUCACUCGAUACUACUGUGACUAGAGUGCGGUAGGGGAGCGGGGAAUUCCUGGUGUAGCGGUGAAAUGCGCAGAUAUCAUGAGGAACACCAGU
rnacentral:rRNA from 1 species